rnacentral:rRNA from 1 species
UACGAAGGGGGCUAGCGUUGUUCGGAAUUACUGGGCGUAAAGCGCACGUAGGCGGACAUUUAAGUCAGGGGUGAAAUCCCGGGGCUCAACCCCGGAACUGCCUUUGAUACUGGGUGUCUGGAGUAUGGAAGAGGUAAGUGGAAUUCCGAGUGUAGAGGUGAAAUUCGUAGAUAUUCGGAGGAACACCAGUGGCGAAGGCGGCUUACUGGUCCAUUACUGACGCUGAGGUG